ACCUGGUCCCAAAGCUUCGCCAGCCCCAGCUCCAACCCUGGCCUCCUCACCCUCACCUGGUCCCAAAGCUUCGCCAGCCCCAGCUUCUCCUCCAGCACCAACCUCAUCCCCACCACUCUGUGUCCAUACUGGUCAAGGAGAAGGGCUACCAGGCAGAUAUUGGGUCUUUGGUCUCUGAGGCUGUGUCAGAGACCAUAACAAGGAGUGGUCGUGAAGAAGUGGGUGGAGGUGGAGGUGGGGGUGGAGAUGGAGGCGUCCCAGGGAAACAUAUCAACCGAAUAGAGAUCCCUCUUCAGACCCGUGGACCCUCAGAUGGGGGUACGAGUGACUCACACAGCCAGAGAACUUACUCGUCCUCUUCUACAUCCUAUGUGAAAGCAGCCUCAUCCGUAUCAUCCUCAAGCACUGUGAAAGAAACCUCAUCCUUCUCCUCGACCUCUGUCAAUGCAUCAACCUCCGCAUCAUCUUCUGUGAAUGCAUCAACCGCAGCCUCAUCCUUUUCCUCAUCUUCCGUCAAUGCAUCAGCCUCUUCCUCUCAUACCCAUUCAGCCCCAAAUUCUCCCAGGCUUCGAAGAGACUCUGCUCAAACGGAUAACAGCAUUAGGACCCCUUCGAAUCAGGAGAGGGUUAGUGUCAGAGCUACGGUCAGAGACAUAGAACAACGCACGACAUCAUCACCACCACCCUCACAGAAGAAAACACAGGAAGACAUUGCUGAAAAAGAGACGGUGAAGAAAUCAACCUACUCACCUAAGUUACCAGGCUCGCUACCAGGCUCACCAGCACUGAUGAGAAGAUACCGACCACAAGUGAUCGAGGUGAGGUCGUUGUCCAAAGAAAUACAUAAACAAGAUAAACAAGAGAAGAACACCACAUCAAGCACCAGACCGCAAACUAUAGAGGUUCAUUCAAAAGCCAGCGGUCCGCCAGUGGCACUGAAACCAAAGUUCAGACCGACAGAUGCAAAUUCACUGUCCAAUGAAACACAGCAGAAACCAGUGGAGGCAGCAACAUCAACCUUCAAACAGCACACAGAAGAGGAGAGACCUGUGAACAAUGAGAAACCAUCAACUUCAGCUACGACUAUCCACAGACAUCUAUCGAACGAUUUGACCCCAGCGUCUAACUACAAUAAAAAGUUAUCCGUUUCUGCAGUGUCCAGCUACAGGCCUCCACCUACCAAGACAACAAUCAUCACUAGUUUCUCUCACAAACCAGUGUCAACAACAGAAGACACAGAGACAUCCGAUGAAAGGCCAAAGCAACCAGAGGCCUCAACCCAGGGACAAGGAGAGGCCCCCAGCUACACACAGAGACCCACAACCCUCACAGUCUCAGCCCCAACUCCAGCUUCAGCCCCAGCUCCGAACCAAGCCCCUGCUGCCCCAGCUCCUGCCAAAGUUCCUACCCAAACCCCUGCCCAAGUCCCUACCCAUGCCCCUGC
rnacentral:lncRNA from 1 species